rnacentral:sRNA from 2 species
AGGGUGAGAACCUUCGAUUAAGGUUCGACUCGAGCGAAAGCGAGAGAACGUUGCCAACGGCAACGGCCCGUAGGGUGAGGAGCGAAGCGACGAAUAAUCCUUCCCCCACCACCA